GUACAGUCCCUGUCACUAGGGACCAUUACAGUCCCUGACACUAGGGACCAGUACAGUCCUUGACACUAGAGACCAGCACAGUCUCUGCACUAGGGACCAGGGACUGUACUGGUACCAGUACAGUCCCUGGCACUAGGAACCAGUACAGUCCUUGACACUAGGGACCAGUGCACUCUCUGACAUUAUGGAUCAGUUAUGUCCCUGACACUAAGGCCCAGUUAUGUCCCUAAAACUAGGGACCAGUUCAGUCCCUAAAACUAGGGACUAGUACAGUCCCUGACACUAGGGACCAGUUUAGUUCCCGACACUAGUGGCUCAAAUAGUUUCUCGGUUUGUGACAAAGAUUCAAUUCCUUUGUUUGAAAAUUCAGUUCAGUGUUAUUCAAAAGAAUACUAUUUGACACGGCUCAGAGGUUAUUUGUUAUAAGCAAAAUCAGUGGUAACAAUAGAUGUUAAUUAUUAUCUCAAGUCUUUUUUAAACUCUAGAUUUUUUCGGAUAUUACGUAGAUGCAGAAUUACGUUCAAAGCCACAGGUCAUACUUGUUAGAUUUAAAUCCAUAAUUAAACUUAAAUAUUUUGUUGUGAUAAUUGUUAAUGUAAGAAAGUUGCAGCUCAUCUAGGCCUGAGGGCCAAACUUAUGAAAGAGUAUCGAUAUUAAACCGUAUUUCGAAUAUCAGUUCAUAAAUUUGGAGUCAGGCAAAUUUUUGGAUAUCAUCAAAUAGCAUAAUAUUCCAACAUAAAAAAUUAUCGCAAAAAAUAGCUUUUAAUUAAAAUCUUUCGCCACCAAAAGGUUGCUUGGUUUCUUCUUUAUCCUAUAAAUCUCUCUUAAACUACAUAUUUAGUUAAAUUAAGUUGACCGCCUUGUGAUUCAACCAUAGAGCUUGCAAUACAUAGAGUAAAAUACGGUAUAGAGACUGGCAUGAAUGAAGAAGCAGUUAGAUCUUUAAGGAUACAUGCAGAAAUGUUUUUUAUAAACCACUCAAUAAAAAUAUAUGUAUGUU